CGACGUAGUUUGAUCAGUGCUCAGAAUCACGCUGGCGGCGUGCCUCAGACAUGCAAGUCGAACGAUUAAAGCUCUCUUCGGAGAGUGUAUAGAGUGGCGCACGGGUGAGUAACACGUAAGUAAUCUACCCUCGAGUGGGGAAUAACAACCGGAAACGGUUGCUAAUACCGCAUAAUGCAGCGGCACCGCAAGGUGACAGUUGUUAAAGAUUUAUCGCUUGAGGAGGAGCUUGCGGCAGAUUAGCUAGUUGGUAGGGUAACGGCUUACCAAGGCUACGAUCUGUAACCGGUCUAAGAGGACGGUCGGUCACACUGACACUGAAUAACGGGUCAGACUCCUACGGGAGGCAGCAGUCGGGAAUUUUGGGCAAUGGGCGAAAGCCUGACCCAGCAACGCCGCGUGAAGGAUGAAGUAUUUCGGUAUGUAAACUUCGAAAGAAUAGGAAGAAUUAAUGACGGUACUAUUUAUAAGGUCCGGCUAACUACGUG
rnacentral:rRNA from 1 species